rnacentral:tRNA from 1 species
GCCCCCAUAGUUCAAUGGAUAGAACAGGAGACUUCUAAGCUCUUGAUGUGGGUUCGAUUCCUACUGGGGGCACAA